AGCUGUUCGUGACAACGACCCGCUGGGCCGCUGAAUAUAUAGCGCCCCCUCCAACAGCCGGCGGAGACCCUCCGCUCGCUGGCGCGCAGACCGGUUGCCGCCAGAUAGGGCCCAAAGUGCGUCAUCCCCGGAGGAAUCUUUGUACCCGACGCGGUUAGCCAUAGGCCGCGGGACCUCGGCGCCGAGGAGCAGCGAUAAAGUAAGACGCAUUUCGGUUGGCAAGGAGCUCUUGAUAGGGGGGGUCACGGCUAUGACGUCGGUGAACAAAAGUGAGGAAAACAUUUCUUACAAUUCGGUGGAGGUUCACCUUGACACUCAGGCUCCUCGUAUUGGAAGCGGACGAGCAGGAUACUAUCACGUGCACUCCAUCGGACCACCAACACAAGCUGAGUGAAUGACACAGUGGAAAAUUUUUAAGCUCGUGGUGGCAUUUUCCCAGCGUUACUCUCUUAGCCAGCGGGGAUUAUAUGUAACGCCUCAUAUUAUGAGGCACUUUCCAAGCUUUAUCUUCUGCGGCACAAACGAUCGUCACUGCUAAAUGGCUACAUGAACGACAUGGCUUACCUCUUCCAACUGCAUCGAACAAGAUCGUGCAGUGGUUAUAAAUCUGAGCCGAGCCUGGGAAGAAGUGAAAUCAAAUCUAAGUGUUCUGGAGUUUCCCGUGCAUCCAGUCAACAAAAGUAUAAUCUAUUUUCUUCUGUAAACCUGUCAAAAUAAAUUAAUGAUUCUACUCUAA